AAUGAACGCUGGCGGCGUGCUUUACACAUGCAAGUCGAGCGAGGCGUCCCGCAAGGGACAGUCGAGCGGCGAACGGGUGAGUAACGCGUGGAUGACCUGCCCUUCGGUGAGGAAUAACCCGGGGAAACUCGGGCUAAUACCGCAUCCGACCGAGAGGUGAGAGCGGGGUCGCAAGAUCUCGUGCCGAAGGAGGGGUCCGCGUCCGAUUAGCUAGUUGGUAGGGUAAUGGCCUACCAAGGCAACGAUCGGUAGCCGGCCUGAGAGGGUGAUCGGCCACACUGGAACUGAGACACGGUCCAGACUCCUACGGGAGGCAGCAGUGGGGAAUUUUGCGCAAUGGGCGAAAGCCUGACGCAGUAACGCCGCGUGGAGGAUGAAGGUCUUUGGAUUGUAAACUCCUGUCAGCGGGGAAAAAGCGAGGCGACCUCAGACGUCGUCGAGUUGAUUGUACCCGCAGAGGAAGCCCCGGCUAACUCUGUGCCAGCAGCCGCGGUAAUACAGAGGGGGCG
rnacentral:rRNA from 1 species